rnacentral:misc_RNA from 1 species
UUAAUUUUCAACUCAUUAUCCUUAACUACAUUUAUCCCCUCAUGAGAAAUUCCAAUUCCAUCUCCGAUAACCUUUUCCUCAUCCAAACAUUUUUUGUCUUCAUCGCCAACGAUUUUCAUUGAAACACUCCCUGUCAUCCAGAUCUAAAACUACUGAUGAUAAGGAAGAUGUCACACAACAUAACCUUUCCUAAAUCCUUGUCAACUAAAACAAACUCCGCAUUUCUUCUUCUUCAGAACCACAAAUUCUUCAUAUAUAUACCCUAUCAUACCUUUAAACAAAAUUUCAUCAAUACAAUUAAACCUAGUGUACUCAUCAGAAAAGCACUCACUAAAAUUGCUUUUGCCACCGGAAUUCCGUUAAACCGAGCAAAAAAUAAAGCAACGGCGUCAUGAAAAUUGAAUUGAAGCUAUAAUUAGCGAUGAAUUUUGCAGAAAAUUAAAG